AGAUCGACUAUCUGGCAACCGUCGGUAGCGGACAGUGCAAAAGUAAACGUGGAUGCUGCAGUACCCCAACACAGAAGAUAUGGAGCCGUGGGAGCGAUAAGCAGGAGCGCUGAUGGAUCGUUCCUGGGAGCCUCAGCCCUAGUGUUCAGACAUGUUUCAGAACCGGAGACUUUGGAAGCAUUGGCCAUUCGAGAAGCCCUUGCUUUAUCAGAUGAUUUAUACCUGCGGAGGAUCCAUGUGGCGUCUGACUGCAAAGUGGUGGUUGAGGACAUUAUGAAGGAGAAUGCAUCUCGGUAUGGAGCAAUCAUACAUGAAAUAAUAGAUCACUCGUCGUUUUUUGAUUUUUGUAAGUUUAGCCAUGAAUUUAGGAGCUCAAAUUAUGAGGCUCACAAUUUAGCGAAGCAUGCACUUUCUCUAGGGAUUGGCCGCCAUGUUUGGUUAGGCCAGCCCGGAGAUCUUCCGUUCGUCCCUGUAAACAUUGUGACGGUUUAA
rnacentral:rRNA from 1 species